CCCCUAGAUGUUCUGGGCCGCACGCGCGCUACACUGAACAGUUCAACAAGUCUUAACCUUGGCCGAUAGGUCUGGGUAAUCUUUGAACGCUGUUCGUGAUUGGGAUAGACCUUUGCAAUUAUGGGUCUUCAACGAGGAAUUCCUAGUAAACUCAAGUCAUCAGCUUGCAUUGAUUACGUCCCUGCCCUUUGUACACACCGCCCGUCGCACCUACCGAUUGAAUGGUCCGGUGAAAUCUCGGGACGGCGGCUUGGUCGCUUGCGUCCGACUGCUGAAACUUGAUUAAACCAUAUCAUUUAGAGGAAGGUGAAGUCGUAACA
rnacentral:rRNA from 1 species